AAUAGACACCACACAGCUGCUGCGGUCAAAAAAGGAGCCCAGAGUGACAGUUUUCCUUGACGGUCACUGUUCUGUUUGCUGUAACCGAUCUGCAACAUUUCAGGAAAAGACAGCU
rnacentral:snoRNA from 1 species